rnacentral:rRNA from 1 species
GAACCAGUACCGUGAGGGAAAGGCGAAAAGAACCCCGGCGAGGGGAGUGAAAAAGAACCUGAAACCGUGUACGUACAAGCAGUGGGAGCACGCUUAGGCGUGUGACUGCGUACCUUUUGUAUAAUGGGUCAGCGACUUAUAUUCUGUAGCAAGGUUAACCGAAUAGGGGAGCCGAAGGGAAACCGAGUCUUAACUGGGCGUUAAGUUGCAGGGUAUAGACCCGAAACCCGGUGAUCUAGCCAUGGGCAGGUUGAAGGUUGGGUAACACUAACUGGAGGACCGAACCGACUAAUGUUGAAAAAUUAGCGGAUGACUUGUGGCUGGGGGUGAAAGGCCAAUCAAACCGGGAGAUAGCUGGUUCUCCCCGAAAGCUAUUUAGGUAGCGCCUCGUGAAUUCAUCUCCGGGGGUAGAGCACUGUUUCGGCAAGGGGGUCAUCCCGACUUACCAACCCGAUGCAAACUGCGAAUACCGGAGAAUGUUAUCACGGGAGACACACGGCGGGUGCUAACGUCCGUCGUGAAGAGGGAAACAACCCAGACCGCCAGCUAAGGUCCCAAAGUCAUGGUUAAGUGGGAAACGAUGUGGGAAGGCCCAGACAGCCAGGAUGUUGGCUUAGAAGCAGCCAUCAUUUAAAGAAAGCGUAAUAGCUCACUGGUCGAGUCGGCCUGCGCGGAAGAUGUAACGGGGCUAAACCAUGCACCGAAGCUGCGGCAGCGACGCUGAUGCGUUGUUGGGUAGGGGAGCGUUCUGUAAGCCUGCGAAGGUGUGCUGUGAGGCAUGCUGGAGGUAUCAGAAGUGCGAAUGCUGACAUAAGUAACGAUAAAGCGGGUGAAAAGCCCGCUCGCCGGAAGACCAAGGGUUCCUGUCCAACGUUAAUCGGGGCAGGGUGAGUCGACCCCUAAGGCGAGGCCGAAAGGCGUAGUCGAUGGGAAACAGGUUAAUAUUCCUGUACUUGGUGUUACUGCGAAGGGGGGACGGAGAAGGCUAUGUUGGCCGGGCGACGGUUGUCCCGGUUUAAGCGUGUAGGCUGGUUUUCCAGGCAAAUCCGGAAAAUCAAGGCUGAGGCGUGAUGACGAGGCACUACGGUGCUGAAGCAACAAAUGCCCUGCUUCCAGGAAAAGCCUCUAAGCAUCAGGUAACAUCAAAUCGUACCCCAAACCGACACAGGUGGUCAGGUAGAGAAUACCAAGGCGCUUGAGAGAACUCGGGUGAAGGAACUAGGCAAAAUGGUGCCGUAACUUCGGGAGAAGGCACGCUGAUAUGUAGGUGAAGUCCCUCGCGGAUGGAGCUGAAAUCAGUCGAAGAUACCAGCUGGCUGCAACUGUUUAUUAAAAACACAGCACUGUGCAAACACGAAAGUGGACGUAUACGGUGUGACGCCUGCCCGGUGC